GGCUCUCGUGGAGUCUGUUUUCACGUGUCUCCCCACAGAGAGUGUUGCAGGCAGUGGAGGCUGCAGUGGGACUGUGUAUAAAAGGAAGGGAUUUGCUUGUCCAUGAGGCCUUCCCCGAGCUCUGUCCUCCAGACAGAGCAGAGGCUUGAGACAAGUUUUGGAAGAGCACGUGCGGAAGGAACAGCACAUGCAAAGGUACAUGCAUCUGAGAAAGUGGUGCCUUCUGGGAAUAAAGCAGCUCGAACCUAAGGUGCAUGCAGACAAGCAGACUCAGGUGCUGAAACUGGAACUGUGAGCAAGGACCGGUGCCCACGAGGUCUUGAACGCUUGGACUUCCACCUGAGGCAGCGGGACUACAGACAUGAGGGUUAUGUGCCAGAGAGAGGCCCCAUCUGAUCAGCACGCUAGAAGAGCACUUUAGAGGAGGCAGCACCGAGGGUGGAGCGGAGCAGGGCAAGGCUGAAGGCAACGAGAACAGUGAGGAGGCUGGAAGGACCGUCCUGGAGAGAGAUGAAGAGAGGCUGCACCAAGGCCGGCCCGUGGCGCUGUGGCAGAGCACGGAAAGCCAAGGGGACACAGGCAGAGUCAACACCAGGACAGGCUGUGCUUCUCGGGGGCAGAGAUCUGCUCAGGGUCUCCACAGCAGGCAGCUGGCAAACCUGGGUCUUCCACAUGGGAUCCUAGCCCAGGCUGAGGCUGCCUCGAGUGUACAUUCUGGCGCUCCCUGCAGUGGACCGCGUGCCCCAAGCCCCUGGCAGUCUCCCCGCUGCCUGCUGCGUUCACCACCACAAAUGAAAGUUUCCUGACCCCCGGGGAGACUUAGAGGGCCCAGAGCUGCGGGUAAUGGGAGAAGGAACAGUUUCCCCUCCCCUUGAGGGUGAAGGUGGGCCGUAGCCCCCUCCUAAGCUGCCUUCUCUUCACCCAUUCACUCAACAAAUAUUGGUUUAUCUUGUGCCCAGCCCUGGGACCCACCUGGCCUCUCAGGACCUCUCCUCAUGUGUGUUUUUGAAGGCUUGUUUAAUGCUAAAUCUCGAAGAGACUCUUGAAUUCACCUAGACUCAAGGUAAACCGUGUGACCCGUCCAAGGCCACGGCAAGCGAGUUGGCAGGUCAGGUGGCUGGACUGCCUCCCGACCCUGUGGGACUUCCAUGGCCUCCUGGUGGCCUAGGACAUUAGGACUUCAGCUUGAGUCUGAUCCGACUAGAAUGCUUCCUAUUACAGGAGCAAAGAGGAUGUUGAGGCACUGAGGAGCUGGUGGGUGAGUGCUGUCCCCGGCCCCAGGAGAGGCAGGCACAGAGCUGGUCCCCUAGCAUGGCCCCACACCAGCCAGCACCCUGAUACCUGAGGUGUUUAUCCUCCCCGCAUUCGGGGCUGACGUUCUCCUUGAUGAGCUGUGCAGCACGUCCAGAAUGUUUUUGGAGCUGUUAGCUAUUACGUCCUAAAGAAUAAUAAAUUGCACGCUGUGGCUCUGCUUCUUUCCUUCUUUCUUUCUUUCAAAGCAACUGGAGAGCUGAAAACACCAAGCUCCUUGCAGGGCUCUCGUCCUGUCUGCGUUACCACCAACAGGAGGGUCCCACUGGCCCGGAGCCUUUGUUUACUUUGAACAGCUCACUCAGCACCAGCUGAGAGCCCUCUUGGCCCCAGUGCCCCCUGGAGGAUGCCUUCCCGGGCGGGCUUCCCUGUGCUGACACAGACAGCAGGCUGCCCAUCGCCAGGGGAGCGAGGAGUUGCACCCCCGGCCCGCGCCUGCCUGCUCCGUCCACCGGCGGGUCUGUUAUUCCAGAUGAUAAAGAACCCUGUCCUGAGGAAUUCAACGCCCCAAAUAACAUGGCUGCCUCAUGGGCAGGAAAGUGGCUGUUGUUUAUUUCUUAUUUCAUAGAGCAGCCCGGCAGCCUCUUGUUCUUUCCUCCCCUCCCCCACACUCACUUUCUCUCCCCUCCCCCCUAAACCCCUCUCUCUCUACCCCCUCCCGCCCUGCUCACCCUCCAUCCCUUCCUUUCUCUCCCUCCUCCUGCCUCCUCCUUAGCCUCUCUUCUUCUUUCCCUCUCAGGCCCUGUUUCCCCAUCCUCUUUUUUCCCUUUUUCUCUUCGUUUUUCCCUGUCCUUUUCUCUCGAGUGCCCCUGAGGCAGCUCUGUAGGAAACAGUUUCAAAUCCCUGGGUUAGAUGCUCAGGGUCUCCUGGACCCUGGUACCAUGGAAGAGCCAUCCUGUCCCUUUUGUCUUAGGCCACACGUUUUGAGUGGAGAGUUUAAAAGGUGGGCACUGGCUGAUAAAUGCCCAGCUUUCAGACCAGGGAUAGAAAUCCUGGGCUCAGACUGCCUGGAAUAUUAGUAUAUUAAAAAGCAUGAUCAGAAAUGGGAAUAUCAACAUGCAGUGGAAAUGAGCAGAAAGUUAGACAACUCUGCAACAUUUGCGGAUUUCUGAUCUUGGAAAGAUUAUUUCUCUGUACGCCUCAGUUCCUAAUAUGUCUAAAGGGGUUGGGAAUCCAUGUCCUGCCCUCUCCUAGGAAGGAUUAAGUUUACCUAGGACAUAGACAGGAAAGUUGUUUGGCACCCAUGCAAUGGUGUGGUAAUAUUAUUAUGGGCUACCACUACCCACGAUUAUCAUAAGAAUGAAAAGAGUCUGAGUAUAUAAAUUCCCUCUCGCUGUCAGGCACGAGUAAACGUUAGCUACAAUUAUCAUUUGCCCCAGACAGGCCCCCAGCAGCAGCUGAGGUGGGGAUGUGCUUGCAGAAACCACAUCCGGGAGUGCUCUCAGGAUGAACACACGUGGAAGGGAAGGGAAGGCAGUGGGGCCAGGCAGAGGAAGAAGUGGGCCACAGCGCAGCCUCAGCAGAGGUCUCAGCAACAUUACAGGAGCUUUAAAAUGGGGAGGGCCUCUCAGAGUUACCACAAAUUGGGAAAAGGAGGCCAGGCAUUUAUACCCUCACAGAAGUUGGUCAUUGGAUGUGGGAUGCCCCAAGAAGCCACUGUGAUCUGAGGAGAGGCAGCUUUCUUCAGCUGAUGCAAUCCUCAAAGGGGACUAAGAAUUGAGGGCUGUCUGCUGGCAGCCCUCCCAGCAGCUGGAGGAAUAAUUCCUUCAGUACAGAGGUGAGGUCUGGGUCAUGCAUCCCAGUGUCCUCUACAUUUUCGUUAUUAUUACAUAAAUAUAGUGAUUUAUUUCCUUGUGUGGCUAAAAAAAAAUCUUAUAUUGGCCAAAGAGUCUGUAAUUACGAGAGAAAUGUGGAAAAAUUAUUUCUACCUAACCAACCAGUAAGUAACCACUGAUCAGCAGCUUCCCAAUAGAACACUGACUGAUCCAAUGGGCUGCACGGCAGACAAUCAUGGUUCACAAGACUCACGCUGGCCUCCUAGCAAUCUGUCAGCCUUGCGUGCUCUGUUAUCCCCUACUGGCCAAGUCUGCAUGCUGCCUUUUUGGUUCUUUCUUCCUCUCACCUCUGAUUAUAUCACCCGAUUGCUUAAACAUAAUGGCUUCCAUCCCCUAAGGAAACAGUCAGAAUUCCUUUCCACAGCUGGCCUCUCCCCUGGCAGCCUCCUUCCCUUCUCCUCCUGUCAUCCGUCCUCUCAUGGCCACAGCAGCCAUCCCGCGUUCCAGGUGCAGCACUGUGUCCAUGCCUGGAAUACCCUCCCACAUCUCAUGGUGGAUUCCUACAUAGUCUUUGAAGCCCAGCCCACACGUGCCCUCCUCUGAGUCCUGUCUGCGUGUCUGUUGUAACACUUAGGUAAACGAACCACCAAUCCGACUUAAGUGAUGCUUCUGAUACUAGAAACACAGUGCUGUGAGGAGGAGCUGGUUUGGCUUUACAGCCCGUCAGCCUUAGUUUGAAUCUAUUCUGUUUCCUGACUUCAAGCUAUUUAGCAUAAGUCUCCUGAGGACUCUGAGGCUGUUUUCUCGUCUGUAUGAUCAGAAUGGAUGUGCAGAGCAGGGUCCGUUUGCACAUUAUCUUUCCUGAGCAGAGAUUUGGCACAGCGUAGGUCUCUCCCCCAGUAGACUGUAAGUCCCCUGAGGGCAGGGUCUCUAUCGCCUUGCUCAUG
ensembl:lncRNA